GGCUCGGUAGCUUAGUUGGAAAAGCACUUGUCUAGCGAAUAAAUAAAUGAAUAAGGGUCGUGAGUUCAAAUCUCACCUGAGCUG
rnacentral:tRNA from 1 species